rnacentral:rRNA from 1 species
UACGGAGGGGGCUAGCGUUGUUCGGAAUUACUGGGCGUAAAGCGCGCGUAGGCGGACCUGCAAGUCGGGGGUGAAAGCCCGAGGCUCAACCUCGGAACUGCCUUCGAUACUGCGGGUCUCGAGUCCGGGAGAGGUGAGUGGAAUUCCUAGUGUAGAGGUGAAAUUCGUAGAUAUUAGGAAGAACACCAGUGGCGAAGGCGGCUCCACUGGCCCGAUACUGACGCUGAGGCACGAAAGCGUGGGGAGCAAACAGG